rnacentral:rRNA from 1 species
GUCUACAGCCAUGCCACCCUGAAUCUCGGAUGAUCUUGGAAGCUAAGCAGGGUCGGGCUUGAUUAGUACUUGUAUGGCAGACCACCUAGGAAUAUCAGGUGCUGUAGGCA